UGUGUGACUGAGGAUAAGUGCCUGUACCUCUCUGAGCCUUGUUUAUAAAAUAGGUGUCACAGCCUCAAACGGCCAGAGAGUAGACAGGAAGUGCCCAGGUCUGGAACACAAACCCUCCUUCCUUCCCAUCCUUUCACAAUGCCUCUAGAGUGGCCCCCAAGCCCUCGAACCAAAGGUCAAGCCCCCGUCAUUAUAUCCUGAGCCUCAAAAUACCAGAGAUGAGUACAAAAGGAAGUGGCUUAGAAGUUCUCAGAAGAAGGGGGAUGGGGAAAAUAAAUAAGCCAGGAGAGACGAAGCUUCCGGCUCUGCAGCUCUAAAACCUUUGCACAACUUUUCUCUUCUGCCCUGGAAUCUUCCAGAUGGCUCACUGAACCUAACUCAGCAACCAGACUCCCACAGUGUCCUGACGAUAAGGAGAGAGAACAGUUUGGGGGAGGAGGGCCGAGUCGGGCAGAGUGUGGAGCAGGGCCCAGCAAGUUUGGGGCCAUCACAGAGUAGGUGUGACGCUCUGCAGCUCCCUCCAACGUCUCUGCAAUGAGACAGACUACAAAGGAAGGCAAGUAAAGACCCAAUAACAACUUUUUCAAUGCCAUGGGCAAAAAUGUUUCAGUUUCACACCCCUCUGGUGCUCAGCGGGGGUAAUGGUCACUCAUCCACUGAUGGUGGGAGGGGAAACUGGUGGACACUUUCUGGAGUAGAAAUGGACAACGUACAUCAAAACGUGACAUACGUGCACUCUGACCCAGCCCCGCACACGUACUGCCAGAAGUUCACCAAGGUACGGAAACAGAGAUGCUCAUGACGACAAAGUGUCCAGCAAAAGAGGGCUGGUUAAAUAAAUUAGGGGAGGACCAGCGAUCGGGUUCCAGAGAGAACCCAGAGCCCAGCUGUGGGACUCGACCCAAUUCCACUCCACUUUCAGUGACACCAUAUUGGUAACUUGAAAUCAACUGCGGUGAGAGUGUUUACACCACAGGAAUUGACAGAUGCCAUGUAUCAAUACUAGAGCUUCCCUCACCACCACCCAAGAGCUGGUUGUUAAACAUUUACCAGCACACCACUGGAGGUUCUGCUACGUGAUGUGAUGUGACGGGAACGCUAUGCAGGUAUUCAGAUUAGACCUCAGACCUGCCCUCCAGCCAAGAAGGCAAAGUAACCAGUAGGCUCUUUGACUGGGUUUCUGCCAUCUCCUAGCUGUGUGACCCUGGACAAGUUGCCUGAAGUGUCUGUGCAAGACGAAGGACUGGAUGGAUGCCAAGGGUCCUCCCAGGAAGGCACUGCUCCUGUGAAGGGCCAGUCUCAAGGCUACUCCCUCUGCCCCCUUGCCCAGCCUCAACAGACAGUCAGCUUUCAAAAUAGGCCCUUCCUUUCAGAAAAACCCAAACUAGGACGUUCAGCAGAAGGCCCGGUUUCAGAGCAUAACAAUGACAGAGCAGAACACGAGAGGAGGGUGAUCACGCGGGGCCCUCGCUGGGUCUCUGGGGAGGGAGAGGUGGGCUCGGGACGACACACUCAUGUCGGGAGAUGUCCAGCCACAGGCGUGUUAAGGUGAAGGGGCAGGCAAAAAAGAAGAAGGAUUCUUAAAAGUCUCACCAUCCCCCAAAAGAAGUCCCUGGGACCCUGGGGAGAUGGGUCCAGAGAGGCUGCCUGGCCUCCUGCCAGCUGCAAGCAGUCCCAGCCAGGGCUCCCCUGGCACAGGGAGAGCUGUGCCUCUGUCCUCCCAGCCUGGAGCCCCAGGGGCCAGUGACAGGUGGGGCCUGGCCUGGCACUCCACGGGCUGAAGCUGGCAGUGGGCCUGGCUGGGUCCGGAGCAAACUAGAAUAUCCCAGCCGCCCUCCUCCCCUGAGCUGCCACCUGAAACACACCGAGGGCCAAGACCAACUGCAAGGGGCCUCCUGGGAGGCCAGGGCCGGAGUUCAAUCCCGGACGGGGAACCAAAGCACCCCUUUAAGCAGCUUGUCCAGACCACAGAGCAGGUAAGCCACAGAGCCCCGGAUUCCCUCGCCCCAGCCUUCUGGGCCUGCCCCAGCCCCCCGUGCUGCCUAUCUUGCUUCCUGGGAGCUCAGAAGCCCCGAGUGAGCGAACAAUGCCCAGGAGAAGCCACCCCAUGCAUGGGAGGGCAGCGUUGGGAUCAGGUCAAGGACCCAGGCUUGGGGCUUCCCUGGUGGCGCAGUGGUUAAGAAUCCGCCUGCCAGUGCAGGGGUCAUGGGUCUGAUCCCUGGUCCGGGAAGAUCCCACAUGCCGCGGA